UAGUGUAAUAGGGCUUUCAUGGGUGGUGGUUCACCCCUUUUUUGAAAGAAGGGGGUGAUAAUAUGACGGUAUUCGAAGCAUUGGUUUUGAUGAUCUCUUUCUCAACCUUAAUCGUUGCCAUACUGUCUCAACAAAAAAAGUAACCACCCAUUGAACGCCUAGCAAGCCUUUGGGUUGGUUACUUCUCUAACUCAAACGAGUGAGCUGCCCCCUUGAAGGGCUGUUACACAUUAGACCGUUCCAUGUACCAGCAUGGUCG
rnacentral:sRNA from 1 species